AUGGAUCAUUUCAGGUACUGCAGUGGGUGUCGUCUACCUUGACUUCAGCAAUGUUUUGUUACAGUCUCCUGUGACAUCCUGGUAAUGAAGCUGAGAAAGUGUGGGAUAGAUGAGUGGAUGAUGAGGUGGGCUGAGAACUGGUUUACUGGCUGAGCUCAGUGGUGGUGAUGGGCGGCACAGAGUGCGGCUGGAGAGCUGUGAGCGGCGGUGCUCCCGGGGGUUGGUGCUGGGUCGGGUUGUGAAAGGUAGAUUGUGUUUUUGCAGUAGAAGCUUUUAGUAUUUUCUGUAUGUAGUACUGGCUUUACUGAACUUACAGCCCUCUUGUGAAAGAGCCGUUUGCCUUCCACUAAGAAAGGUGCUGAGCAGAGUUAAAAAGUUAAAGAUUCGGGGUGUUCUGAUUGGGGUGGAAUUGAGCCAGGCACAAAAUAAGGCAAAUAUGCAGGCUGGAGAGAGAGAGGGAGCUCGGCACAGGACAGAACAAAUGUGCUCACUCUUGGAAAUAUGGCCCUCGUAUCCAUGGAGAAGUAGAAAACAUACCAAAAAGAGCAGGUUGGUAAUGGACCUUAUAUGGAACUACAUCAUAGCAACAGCGUCGGGGAGAUUGUGAGCCUAGACGCUCAACCAGUGAGUGCCAGGAGAGCAUUGCCUGCGUCGGGUUCAGAGUACAGAACAGGAUGAAUUUCACUGACUGAUGUGCAAUUUUUCCCUUAUUAACAGGGAGCAUGUGCCUGUUAUUGAAAUAACGAAUAAACUUUGCUGCUAUCACUAAGAUCCUUGCCUAAGCUGAAAUUGGUGACUUUGAGUGUUUCUCUCAAGGUCUUGUUCAAUAUCUUUGUCAAUGUCCUUGAUGAGGGGAUAUGUUCACCCUUAGCAAGUGCACUGAUGAGACAAAGCUGGGAGAGAAGUGGUUGGCACGCCAAGAGGCUGUGCUGCCAUUCAGCAAGACCUGGACAGGAUGGGGAGCUGGGCAGAAACAAACCAGCGAUGCAGUGUUUCAGAAGGGAGAAAAGCACGGCGGGCAUCAACUGGAUUUCUGUGGUUGGUGAAGCUGUGCUGAGAACUGGGCUGGCUGCUGCCCCUGGAAAUGUGUCUGCAGACUUUGCACCCAGAGGAAUGACUUUUCCCUGCCGGUUGAGCUUGUCUAAGGUGAUUUUUUCAUGAGGAAAGAUUUGAAAUGCUGUUUGCUAAUGGAAGAUGGAGAGAGGAAAAUCAAGUCAAAGGCAUGCUAUGCAUAGCCAGCACACAGCAUCUGCACCGCUCUCCCCCUGCACAAAGGAGGAGCAGCUCAGCAAGCUUGGCCUGGGCCAUGGAAGGCAGCAUACAAACAUCUGGACCAACCCCAACGGAACUGCUUCUGCAGUAAGGCAUGUUGUUAUAAAGCACCAUCGUAGGGGCAACCUUGAUUUCUGCAGCCACCAGAGCUCUCCGCCGUGCUUCUCCCUGUGGUGUGAGACCGUAUUGGAGGCCAUGCAGAAGCCUGGUCAUAACCAUGGAACCACAGAAGCGUUACCCAGACAGAAGGAGCCUUUGUCACCUGGACUUCCUACCAAUGACUCAGGCAGUGGAAGUCAGCAUCCCAAGUAUCCAUGAAACCCCUGCACAGGACUGG